GGACAGGAAGUUUUGUGAAGCUGCCGUCUCUUCAUUAUCGCAGCUCAGACCAGACCACUGCACCGAUAAAUGAGAGAAGUGCUGAGGUGCCUGUGCUCUAGAGGAUCAUGGUCUUCAGAUACCUCUAUCCAGUGGUCUUGAAGUCGUUCCUCCUGUAGAUCCGCAGGUUCAAACCCCUUCAGCUCCAGUCCACCACAGUCCAGCACCAGAUCACAGAGUGGACGUAACAACUGAGGACGGCUUUUAACUUUUGGCUGCUACAGGACUGAAUGUGACCCCUGGACCGGAUUACGCACAGGUACUCUGUUAAACUCUUCUAAACUAAUUUUUCUGUAAAGAUUUCACUGGAUUGAUUGUGGUGCUAACACCCUUGAUCUGUGCUUGAGGUGUGUGCCUCAGAAUCUCAGGGUGUAGUCAAUACUGAAUUUCCAGGCCGUAUCCAGAUCUGGCGAUGACCUUAGCCUGGACACGAUGACGAUGACAAUGCAGUGCUGAAGUGCCAACUAGCCUCUCCCUAUGGAGGAUCCCUUUCCCACUCUACAGAUUAAGCGAUGUGAAUUCGUUUCGCGUCCCUACCCUGAAGUGAUUAGAAAAUCUGUAUCAAAUUUAUAGACAAGAAGUUUGUUCAGGCAUGAGGGAAUUUAAAAACCUGCGCGCAUAUAUUCAAACGCACAUAACUAUUGAAUCAAUUCUCAAUGCGCAUGUGAACGUCAUCAGCAGGGCUGUUACUACCAAUUUAUCACAGGUUCGCAUUUAAAGUCUAUUUAGAAACAUUCAUAUACAUUUUCACGUGACAGUUACUGUAAAUUCGGCCUCUAGUUCAUAAACGCCAGAGGAGAACUGGCCCCCGACUGAGCCUGGGUUCUCCCAAGGUUUUUUUUCCUCCGUCGGGUCACCUGAUGGAGUUUUUCAGUUCCUUGCCACUGUCGCCUUUGGCUUGCUCAGUUGGGGAUAUUCAAAUCAAUUAUACUACAGGGCUGUUGAACGCUUGAUUCUGAUUGGUUGAGAACAUUCAAUAGGUGUGCAAUUAUUUUGACGGCUAAAGUAGUUUCAGGCAAGUUUGAACCGCAUUACAGUUGCAUAUCACUGCGCGUAGUUAACGGAAAAUAGGAUACAAUUCAUACCAAGAGAAGACAUGCAGCCCCAUGCGCUUGAUCUGCAAUUUUCGAUGUCUAACUUCACAAUCAAGUGACACAUACAGUUUAAUUUUAAUAAAUAAAGUAUAGUCCUAUCUAUAAUAGGCUAAAUAGAAAAUUAAACUGAAGGCUAUAUAAAUAAAUUAAUAGUCCUGCUGCACGUAAUUUCAUAAAUAUUCCAGAUAAUAUAACAAAUAAAUAAUUAUUGAUUGGCUUACUUGUAAAAAAGUGCUUUGUGUGUUUCAUUUAUUGGGUUAUCUACUGUCAAUUAUAGAAAACAAUAAUGAACAAAUUAAUUAAAACGAAGUUAAUAAAUAAAUAAUAAUAUUGACGCA